GGAUUACCAACCAGGCGAAAGGUAGGACUUUCGCCUUCAUCCCAAGUGAGGGAUAUUUGCAAGCACAUAACCAAGAGAACAGGUAUUCCAGUGUAACAUGUUUGUGAUGUGGGAGGAGGCACUGGAAUCCUGAAACUCAAAGGACUCCCAGCCAACCGGGAACAGCCAAGAAAGGAGGUUCACUCCCAGUGGAAAGAGCACGAGCUUUGCUGUCGAAGGGACCUGGAUGCAGACACUGCCGCAGCCUUUGCAGCUUCAUGCUCUUGGCACAUCGUCUACCCUCUGAGCCUCCGUUCUCUUACAUGUAAAAUGGAGAUAAAUACACAUAUCUCACAGAUCAUUAGAAAGAUUGGGAGAGAUCCUUACAGACAACACGUGGGUCAUCUGGGAGCAGACCAGGUCGGGUGUGAUUCCGUCUGUCCUGAGACUCUUAAAAUUCUAAACUUCUGCCAUCUACAAUCAAGAGCAGGAGACAAGGCAAACACAUGCGAGAAAUAAAGAAGCCAUCCUGUAGACCUGAAACACUUAACUAACUGAUCAUUAAUCAUGAGGAACAGGUUUUGUGGGCAGCACUCCCAUGCAAACACCCAACUGCCAUUAACUUGCGUGGCAGAUGUCGAGAGGCCGAGUGCAGAGGCUCAUGCCUGUAAUCCCAGCACUUUGGAAGGCUGAGCACACCAAACUUCUGGAUGGUUGAAAUUUCUGAGCAAAUCUCAGAAGAGAUAAAUGACUUCUGAAACAUUUUAAGUCUAUCAAGUUCAGGAUGUGUUUCACCAUUGCCUGCUUCCUGGUAAGGCACAUCCUUCAUUCAUGAGUGCAUUCAUUCAUUCAUGAUCUCACGAAUGUGCCCAGUGGUGCAAUGUGCCUGCAGUGAGGGGCUACUAUCCCUCCUGCCACCUUUCUCUCAAUACCCUGGUUCAGAAUUUGUUGUCAUGAACUUUCUCCAAGGCAAGCAGCACAGCAGGUGAAUUCUGCUUCCAGCUCACGUUCUCUGAUGUGAGGUGGGGGGAUAAGUAAAA
rnacentral:lncRNA from 10 species